GAGCUUGAGAAGGAAUCAGAUUCUGCAUAUAUUUCCAAGUUAACAUGAACAAGAUUUUCUGAAAGACUGCUAUGGAGUCUGAGAAAAAAUGUCAAAGGUAGUGCCAAAAUUGUCACUUAAAGAACUGCAGGAAUGGAGUUGGCAUUUACAGAAUUUGGAAGAGAAGCAGGUUUAGUGAUAAAGACCAGAAGCACAGAGCUAAGCAUAUUAAAUAUUGAGGACAUGAAGAGGAAAGAACUGACAGAGGAGGUGAAGAAAGGUGAUCAGGAAGAGCCAUCAAAGUGUUAUCCUGGAAUUCAAGUGAAGACAGUGUUUCAAAGAUAUGCCACAGAGAGGAUCCAGAGAGCCCAUCUCCGGUCAGUUAUCUGUAUUUGUAUGUCAACUACAGCAUCAAAAAGCAUAGGCAUGGAUACUAAGGACCCCCUCUGUACACCAACGCCAGUCCAAAGGACAGUGUGUCACUGUGAACUGGAAAUUCAUCUCUCUUCUUCAAUUUUUUUCUACCUACUUUAUGCUUUAUCUCUAAGUUGAGGCUGUUUAUGGCCUCAUCCUCAAUUACCUUGUCCCUC
rnacentral:lncRNA from 1 species